UACAGAGGUCUCGAGCGUUAGGCGGAAUCACUGGGCUUAAAGCGCGUGUAGGCGGAUCGUUAAGUGCCUUGUGAAAUCCCACGGCUUAACCGUGGAACUGCUUGGCAUACUGGCGAUCUUGAGCCAUCUAGGGGCCUGCGGAACAAACGGUGGAGCGGUGAAAUGCGUAGAUAUCGUCGAUGGACGCCAGAGGUGAAAACAGG
rnacentral:rRNA from 1 species